rnacentral:rRNA from 1 species
GUGCCAGCCGCCGCGGUAAUACGAAGGUCCCAAGCGUUGUUCGGAAUCACUGGGCGUAAAGGGUGCGUAGGCGGUUUGGUAAGUCAGAUGUGAAAUCCCGGGGCUCAACCCCGGAACUGCAUCCGAUACUGCCAGACUUGAGGACUGGAGAGGUGACUGGAAUUCUCGGUGUAGCAGUGAAAUGCGUGGAUAUCGAGAGGAACACUCGUGGCGUAAGCGAGUCACUGGACAGUAUCUGACGCUGAGGCACGAAGGCCAGGGUAGCGAAAGGGAUUAGAAACCCCCGUAGUCC